rnacentral:rRNA from 1 species
CACGUAGGUGUCCUGUUAAGUCAGUUGUGAAAUCCCUGGGCUCAACCCAGGAACUGCGACUGAUACUGGCAGGAUUGAGUAUGGAAGAGGAGAGCGGAAUUCCCAGUGUAAGAGUGAAAUCUGUAGAUAUUGGGAGGAACACCGUUGGCGAAAGCGGCUCUCUGGUCCAAUACUGACACUGAGGUGCGAAAGCUAGGGGAGCAAACAGGAUUAGAUACCCUGGUAGUCC